UACGUAGGGUGCGAGCGUUGUCCGGAAUUAUUGGGCGUAAAGAGCUCGUAGGCGGUUUGUCGCGUCGGCCGUGAAAUCUCCACGCUUAACGUGGAGCGUGCGGUCGAUACGGGCAGACUUGGAGUUCGGUAGGGGAGACUGGAAUUCCUGGUGUAGCGGUGAAAUGCGCAGAUAGUCAGGAGGAACACCGGUGGCGAAGGCGGGUCUCUGGGCCGAUAACUGACGC
rnacentral:rRNA from 1 species